ACAGUGGUGGUUCAGUAGUAGAAUUCUUGCCUUCCAUGCAGAAGGCCCAGGUUCAGUUCCUGGACAGUGCA
rnacentral:tRNA from 1 species